UAAGCCCUAGCUCUGUGUCUAUUCCCGCCUUCUUUGCUCCAGCUUUCCCGUCAUUCUCGGCUAAACUCUCACUCUAUCGCUCUUGGUCCAUAGCCAUAGCCAUAGCCAUAGCCAUGGCCACCACAAGCUUGAACUCAACUACAGAGCUUUCUAGGUCGUUGGCUGCUUCGAAUGGACCGUCUUCUCAGAGAAUCGACCGGAACCGGCGUUUCGUAUGCCGAUUGCCGUCUGUAUCUUUCUUCAAUAAGUUGUCGAAGCCUUCAAUGGAAGUUAAAAGAGUUACGGCAAGUGAAGCUUUGAGGAGCAGAGGAGGCAUAAUUUCUAUGUCGAAGAGUGAGAGUGGUGAUACUGGUGUUGGUCUUACAUAUAAGGACGCUGGUGUUGAUAUCGAUGCUGGGUCGGAACUUGUUCGGAGAAUCGCUAAGAUGGCUCCUGGGAUUGGAGGCUUCGGGGGUCUCUAUCCUCUUGGUGAUAAGUAUCUCGUUGCUGGUACUGAUGGUGUGGGAACUAAACUUAAGCUUGCAUUUGAAACUGGUAUACAUGAUACCAUUGGGAUUGAUCUGGUUGCAAUGAGUGUUAAUGACAUUGUUACUUCUGGGGCGAAGCCAUUAUUUUUUCUUGAUUACUUUGCUACAAGUCGCCUUGAUGUUGAUCUUGCUGAAAAGGUUAUAAAAGGCAUUGUUGAUGGUUGCCAACAAUCAGACUGUGCUCUUCUAGGUGGAGAGACUGCAGAGAUGCCAGAUUUCUAUGCUAAUGGUGAGUAUGAUCUUAGUGGUUUCGCGGUUGGUAUUGUAAACAAAGAUUCAGUUAUAGAUGGAAAAAGCAUUGUGGCUGGAGACGUACUCAUCGGCUUGCCUUCUAGCGGAGUUCAUUCCAACGGUUUCUCUCUUGUAAGAAGGGUUCUGGCUCAUAGUGGAUUGUCUUUGAAGGACAAACUUCCUGGGGAAGGUGUAACAUUAGGCGAAGCUUUGAUGGCACCAACUGUGAUAUACGUUAAGCAGGUACUUGAUUUGAUUAGCAAAGGAGGUGUAAAGGGGAUAGCACAUGUCACAGGUGGUGGGUUUACUGACAACAUACCACGAGUGUUUCCGAAAGGCCUUGGUGCUGUUAUUGACAUGGAUUCCUGGGAGAUUCCUGCUGUUUUCAAAUGGAUCCAAGAGGCGGGAAGAGUAGAAGAUGGCGAGAUGAGGCGAACUUUCAACAUGGGCAUUGGGAUGGUUUUAGUUGUGACUCCAGAAGCAUCCCACAGAAUUCUCGAGGAAACUGCUAAUGGAGCAUACAAGGCUUAUCGCAUAGGAGAAGUGGUAAAGGGUGAAGGAGUGAGUUACUCUUGACUGCUGGAUAGUUGUCAAUUUAUGGAGCUGAGAUAUGACGCAGCUCACCAUUUUCCUGCAACUUCAACACAGAAAUUUUGAAGAUUUGUAUUUUUAUUUGCUCUGUUGUCCCCUUAACUUGGGCGUCAAAUUAUGCGUCAACUGUAUUGAUAGUGCAAAUAAAGAAUUUUUAAUUAAAUUACAUUUCUGAAUCAAAUGACUUGUUAGUGUCCCCUAAAAUAAAAUGUUUUACAAGACAUCAAAUUAGCUUAUAACACAUCAAUACUACAAAUAA